AAGUCGUAACAAGGUCUCCGUUGGUGAACCAGCGGAGGGAUCAUUACAGAGUUGAAAGACUCCCAAACCACUGUGAACAUACCCGAGCGUUGCCUCGGCGGGCGGCCCCAGGGCGGGGCCGCAACCUCCCGCAGGGAGGUGCCCGCCGCAGGCCCAUACAAACCAUAUUGAAACCUAGUGGCCUCUCUGAGUUGAUUACCAAUAAUCAAAACUUUCAACAACGGAUCUCUUGGCUCUGGCAUCGAUGAAGAACGCAGCGAAAUGCGAUAAGUAAUGUGAAUUGCAGAACUCAGUGAAUCAUCGAAUCUUUGAACGCACAUUGCGCCCGCCAGCAUUCUGGCGGGCAUGCCUGUCCGAGCGUCAUUUCAACCCUCAAGCACUGCUUGGUGUUGGGGCCCUACGCGUCGAGCGUAGGCCCCUAAAUCNGNGGCGGGCCCGCCGUGGCUCCGGGCGUAGUAGCAACACCUCGCCCUGGAAUCGCGGCGCGCUCUGGCCGUUAAACCCCCACUAUACUGAAGGUUGACCUCGGAUCAGGUAGGAAUACCCGCUGAACUUA
rnacentral:rRNA from 1 species